AAGGGGGGGGGGGGCUAUACCUGCAGUCGAGCGAACAGAUAAGGAGCUUGCUCCUUUGAAGUUAGCGGCGGACGGGUGAGUAACACGUGGGUAACCUACCUAUAAGACUGGGAUAACUUCGGGAAACCGGAGCUAAUACCGGAUAACAUUUAGAACCGCAUGGUUCUAAAGUGAAAGAUGGUUUUGCUAUCACUUAUAGAUGGACCCGCGCCGUAUUAGCUAGUUGGUAAGGUAACGGCUUACCAAGGCGACGAUACGUAGCCGACCUGAGAGGGUGAUCGGCCACACUGGAACUGAGACACGGUCCAGACUCCUACGGGAGGCAGCAGUAGGGAAUCUUCCGCAAUGGGCGAAAGCCUGACGGAGCAACGCCGCGUGAGUGAUGAAGGGUUUCGGCUCGUAAAACUCUGUUAUUAGGGAAGAACAAAUGUGUAAGUAACUGUGCACAUCUUGACGGUACCUAAUCAGAAAGCCACGGCUAACUACGUGCCAGCAGCCGCGGUAAUACGUAGGUGGCAAGCGUUAUCCGGAAUUAUUGGGCGUAAAGCGCGCGUAGGCGGUUUCUUAAGUCUGAUGUGAAAGCCCACGGCUCAACCGUGGAGGGUCAUUGGAAACUGGGAAACUUGAGUGCAGAAGAGGAAAGUGGAAUUCCAUGUGUAGCGGUGAAAUGCGCAGAGAUAUGGAGGAACACCAGUGGCGAAGGCGACUUUCUGGUCUGUAACUGACGCUGAUGUGCGAAAGCGUGGGGAUCAAACAGGAUUAGAUACCCUGGUAGUCCACGCCGUAAACGAUGAGUGCUAAGUGUUAGGGGGUUUCCGCCCCUUAGUGCUGCAGCUAACGCAUUAAGCACUCCGCCUGGGGAGUACGACCGCAAGGUUGAAACUCAAAGGAAUUGACGGGGACCCGCACAAGCGGUGGAGCAUGUGGUUUAAUUCGAAGCAACGCGAAGAACCUUACCAAAUCUUGACAUCCUUUGAAAACUCUAGAGAUAGAGCUUUCCCCUUCGGGGGACAAAGUGACAGGUGGUGCAUGGUUGUCGUCAGCUCGUGUCGUGAAAUGUUGGGUUAAGUCCCGCAACGAACGCAACCCUUAAGCUUAGUUGCCAUCAUUAAGUUGGGCACUCUAAGUUGACUGCCGGUGACAAACCGGAAGAAAGGUGGGGAUGACGUCAAAUCAUCAUGCCCCUUAUGAUUUGGGCUACACACGUGCUACAAUGGACAAUACAAAGGGCAGCUAAACCGGGAGGCAUGCAAAUCCCUUAAAGUUGUCCUCAUUCCGGAUUGAACCUCGAACUCCAAUACUUGAACUGGGAUCCCUAAAAAUCCGAAUAACAAGCUACGGGGAAAAACUUUCCCGGUUUGGUACACCGCCCGGUACCCACCAGAAUUUUAACACCCAACCCGGGGGAAACAUUAUUGGCUUACCCCGCAAUGGCCAAAUAUGGUUGGUUUGAAUUAAAAGGAAAGCCCAACAACGAAGGGAAAGGGGGGGGGG
rnacentral:rRNA from 2 species